rnacentral:rRNA from 1 species
CCUACGGGAGGCAGCAGUGGGGAAUCUUGCACAAUGGGGGAAACCCUGAUGCAGCGACGCCGCGUGAGCGAUGAAGCCCCUCGGGGUGUAAAGCUCUUUCGGCAGGGACGAUAAUGACGGUACCUGCAGAAGAAGCUGCGGCUAACUACGUGCCAGCAGCCGCGGUAAUACGUAGGCAGCAAGCGUUGUUCGGAAUUACUGGGCGUAAAGCGUGCGUAGGCGGUUGGCCAAGUUUGGUGUGAAAUCUCCCGGCUCAACUGGGAGGGUGCGCCGAAAACUGGCGGGCUAGAGUGCGGGAGAGGGAAGUGGAAUUCCUGGUGUAGCGGUAAAAUGCGUAGAUAUCAGGAGGAACACCUGUGGUGUAGACGGCUCCCUGGACCGUGACUGACGCUGAAGCGCGAAAGCGUGGGGGGCGAACGGGAUUAGAUCCCCCGGUAGU